GAUUAUCUCAUGCAAUAUCAGCGCCGAAUCACACAAAGGUCAACUUAUUAUUAAUUUAUGGAAGCAGGUUUACCCGCAAAAUUCCGACGUAGUUUUGAAUUAGGUAAACGGGAAAUUUGGAGUGCAAUUCAUCUACAAAAUGACAUGUCGCGUGCGAUAUAAAUUAGUUCAUUGCAGUAGUCUUGUGAUAAGUUGAUCCCUGAGAUAUCCAUCCCUUUGAAAAUGUUGCUUAAAUUUGUGGUUUUUCUGUUGUGCUUCGUUGUGCUAUACGUAAACUGUGGGGUAGCUGUUAACGGGCGAUUAUCAGAAGAGGAGGAUGAUACAAUAUCGUUUCCAGAUGAGUUGCAAUCUCGAUCAGCUACUAAUAUACCUGAAAGUAACGGUAUGUACCUUAUAUACCGGAAUAUGUUCCGGUAUACCGGCCGUUGUGGAAAUAAUGAAGCUCUCGUGGGUGGACGUUGCAGAAGGAAAUUUCCGAGGUUCUAACCGUUUCCAUUGAAUGAUAAUUUAUGGAGAGUAGAUAUGUUCUCAAAUGCAACACCAAUGUGGUUGACGUUGGCACCGUGAUGGAAUAUUGAAGAUCGCCUUUUCGCUAAAUUAAAAGGAUAUUAAACCGUAUCUUGCUGUACCAUAAAAACACUUUGAUACUCAUUAUUUUACAAAUAAAGUCCUAGUAACGAUGA